GCUCCCAUCGUCUAGCGGUCCAGGACGGGGCCCUCUCAAGGCUCAAACACGGGUUCGAUUCCCGUUGGGAGCACCA
rnacentral:tRNA from 1 species